AUCUUCUUUCUUGCCACCUGGCAUUUGCUCCUGCUGGUGUUCUGCCAGCGUGCAGUUUUCCUUCCUCUCUGCUUCUUGAAAUCCUACCCACCCUCCAUGGCCAACUUGUGGUGAGUCCUCUGCUCACCCUCUCAGCCUGAAAUGCUUUCUCCUCUUUCUUCUCCUGGGGUUCACAGGAGAAGAAUUGCCUUGUUUCUUGUAUAUACACUGUCCAUUGUGUCAAGGAGUAUGGACAGUGUAUGAGGCAUUCAGGGAGAAGGAGCGUUCAGAAUGAGGCUGUAGGGAAGUUCACUGUUGCAUCGCUGCUGAGAAGGGUGUUGAGAGGCCUCAGUGUUGUCCCUGAUGAAGAAGUCAUUGAAAUGUACGAGGGGUCCCACGUGCCCUUGGAGCAGAUGAGUGACUUUUACGGAAAGAGCUCUCAUGGAAACACGAUGAAGCAGUUCAUGGACAUCUUCUCCCUGCCCGAGAUGACCCUCCUGUCCUGCGUGAAUGAAUACUUCCUCAAGAACAACAUCGACUAUGAGCCUGUGCAUCUGUACAAAGAUGUCAAGG
rnacentral:lncRNA from 1 species